CAUCCCCUGUGUGGUUUGUGAUGAGUCGAUGAAUAUUAGAACCUACCGUAAAGUCUCGGGAGCCUCACUUCCGCGAGCCUGUGCCAGCCCCGCACGAACGGGGACGCUGACGGCCGCUGAGAGGGCACCCACCUGGUAAAAGCCAGGUUCUAGACUUCCGACUCACACGGCUUGCGCGGGGGGUGC
rnacentral:other from 1 species